rnacentral:lncRNA from 1 species
ACUCAUCAAACCUGCUGUCCUCAGCUGUGGCCACCACAUAACACUGAGAUAAAACCUAUCAAGAAAUCCAGCCAGACUGGAGGAUGCCCACAGAAUCACACUCUGACCUCUCCCCUGCUACUGAUAACACAAUGCCCAGACUCAGCGCGACAUUCAAGAAAUGUAAGUGCCCUAGAGUGCUUCUGUAAAGGCCGCCCAGAUUGCCACUGGCUUUUUCUAAAGGGGUUGCAAACCAAUUUCUAAUUCUGGUCUACUAUCAGAAUAGUAGGCUCGCUGUCUCCUUCAAUUUUUUCUUCCCAUGCUGCGUAUAUGUGGAUGUUUUCAAUAAAAUCAUUGAAAAAAAA